UCUCCUACGGGAGGCAGCAGGCGCGAAAACUUUACAAUGCGGGAAACCGUGAUAAGGGAAUCUCGAGUGCCAGCAUAUAAUGUUGGCUGUCCAGAUGCCUAAAAAGCAUCUGUUAGCAAGGGCCGGGCAAGACCGGUGCCAGCCGCCGCGGUAACACCGGCGGCCCGAGUGGUAACCGUUAUUAUUGGGUCUAAAGGGUCUGUAGCCGGCCAAGUAAGUCCCUUGGGAAAUCUGGCAGCUCAACUGUCAGGCUGCUAGGGGAUACUGUUUGGCUUGGGACCGGGAGAGGUGAGAGGUACCUUGGGGGUAGGGGUGAAAUCUUGUGAUCCUCGGGGGACCACCAGUGGCGAAGGCGUCUCACCAGAACGGGUCCGACGGUAAGGGACGAAAGCUAGGGGCACGAACCGGAUUAGAUACCCGGGUAGUCCUAGCCGUAAACGAUGCUCGCUAGGUGUCAGUCACGGUGCUGCACCGUGA
rnacentral:rRNA from 1 species